rnacentral:rRNA from 1 species
AUGAGGCCGGGAAAGCCAACACCGCCGCAGACGGUGUGGGGCUACCCGCCAGCGCUGGUAGCUUCCAACGAGCAUGUGAUGUGCCUGCUCCGCAACGGUCAUGCCCCGCGCUUGCUGCCAAGGUGUAUUUUACCGGCUGCUGUGUUAUUUCCUCCUAAAUUGAAAACGACGGCUGGAGUAUAUGGUGGCGGGCGGGCGGAACCUCUUCGCACUGCUCCCGGAGGCGUCAAGGGCGUCAAGCCCUCUGUCGUGAUCGAAUCGGGCUCCCAGGUUCAGUCCCAUCUUCCCUUUGCUCCCUCACUGCGCAGUUUCUCUCCUAUCUGUCGAGAUUUACUAUUAUGUCUCUCUACUGCUAUUCUACUGAAUUGUGUUCUUGGAGCAUCAAAGCCAAUUGUUUUACUGCAAUGA